rnacentral:rRNA from 1 species
UGCCAGCCGCCGCGGUAAUACGUGGGGUGCAAACGUUGCUCGGAAUCAUUGGGCGUAAAGCGCGCGUAGGCGGCUUAUUAAGUCGGAUGUGAAAGCCCUGGGCUCAACCCAGGAAGUGCAUCCGAAACUGAUUCGCUAGAGUCUCAAAGAGGGUCGCGGAAUUCCCGGUGUAGAGGUGAAAUUCGUAGAUAUCGGGAGGAACACCAGUGGCGAAGGCGGCGACCUGGGUGAUGACUGACGCUGAGGUGCGAAAGCGUGGGGAGCAAACAGGAUUAGAUA